GGCUUUUUGAUUAUAAUUUAAAGUCUGACCUGCCCACUGAAUUUUUUAAAGGGCCGCGGUAUUAUGACUGUGCUAAGGUAGCAUAAUCAUUAGUUUUUUAAUUAAAAGCUAGAAUGAAUGGUUUGAUGAGAAAAUAUUUGUCUCAAUUUAAAUUUAUGAAUUUAAUUUUUAAGUUAAAAAGCUUAAAUUUUAUUAAAAGACGAGAAGACCCUAUAGAGUUUUAUAUAUUUAUAAUUAUAAUUUUUUAGUAUUAUAAUUUUAUAUUUAUAUAUAUAUUUAAUUGGGGUGAUUAAAAAAUUAAAUAAACUUUUUUUUAUUUAAAUCAUUUAUUUAUGAAUAAUUGAUCUUUACUUAAUGAUUAUAAGAAUAAAUUACCUUAGGGAUAACAGCGUAAUUUUUUUUAAGAGUUCAAAUCGAAAAGAAAGAUUGCGACCUCGAUGUUGGAUUAAAAUUUAUUUUUGGUGUAGAAGCUAGAAAAUUAGGUCUGUUCGACCUUUAAAAUUUUACAUGA
rnacentral:rRNA from 1 species